rnacentral:rRNA from 1 species
AACGAACGCUGGCGGCAGGCCUAAUACAUGCAAGUCGAACGCCCCGCAAGGGGAGUGGCGCACGGGUGAGUAACGCGUGGGGAUGUGCCCUUGGGUACGGAACAACACCGGGAAACUGGUGCUAAUACCGUAUAAUGACUCCGGUCCAAAGAUUUAUCGCCCAAGGAUCAACCCGCGUUGGAUUAGCUAGUUGGUGAGGUAAUGGCUCACCAAGGCGACGAUCCAUAGCUGGUCUUAGAGGAUGAUCAGCCACACUGGAACUGAGACACGGUCCAGACUCCUACGGGAGGCAGCAGUAAGGAAUAUUGGACAAUGGGGGAAACCCUGAUCCAGCCAUGCCGCGUGAAUGAAGAAGGCCUUAGGGUUGUAAAGUUCUUUUAGUGGUGAAGAUAAUGACGGUAGCCACAGAAAAAGCUCCGGCUAACUCCGUGCCAGCCGCCGCAGUAA